GCCACCGUUUGGCACUUUUGGCUGCAUAUUUUAAAAUGUUUAUAAAAUUUUUAUACACUAAAGCGAGUAUAAUAUCGCCAAAAUGUGGGAAAAUAAUUGAGAAUACUGACUGAUUCAUUGUGCAAAUGAACAAAAAAAACGACAGGUGCGUAUCCACUUGAAAUGUUGGGUUUCUUCCCAUGAUUUGUACUCCUUGUGCUCGUUUGUGAGUCACAAGACUUUGUGUGUGACUUCUCAUUUCUCUGACAUCUAAGGCGAAGUGGCGGGUUGUAUUUGAGAUAUUUUUCAAGUUUCGAGUUUCACGUUAAUUAAACAAAGCUUCACUCUUUUAGUAUUUAUGCUACAUUAUGUCAUUUUCUACUACUGUACGUGUUUUAUUUUAAACCUUUUAAGUGUAAAUUAAGAUAAAUUAGAUAAAUAACCGUCUUCUGUUCAUUGUUCAAUAAUAAUUACAAUAGUUCCUAAAAUGUUUAUUUCUCUGACAAACCUUGGGCCUUGGAAAUGUCAGGUUUGCUUGUAUUUUCAGGAUGAUGAAAACUAACAUUCAAUUGGAAUAUUGGAUGAUCCGACAACUAUCCUAAUUCCUAAAGCUAAGGAAGCUUGAAAUAGUUUGCAUAUUUCUUACAAAAUAUAUGUUACAAAGUAAUAUUUUAUGUUAUGUUUUAGGGUUGCACCGGAUAGUGCUUUUUUCUAUCCGACCGGAUAUGCCGGAUAGUUGUAAAAUAUCCGGCCAGAUAUUCUGGAUAAAAAUUCAUACAUGCCAGAGAGCAAAAUUAAAACUUGCAUGUGCUGUUUAAGACCAUGUCAAGUCCGUUCUGGACCCACAGAUAUAAUGUACGAGGCAAAUCCAACCGCGAUCAGGCCCCCCGGGCAACCCCCGGGGAAUUUGACUUUUGAAAAAAUAAUUGGUCAAAUGGCCGCCCGAACAGGCAGAAACCACAGUCAAAUGCCCUGCUAUAGGGGUAGUACUGGUUCUGGAAUUUUGGCUAAAAUUAAAUUGAACAAGUGUUUCCACCCGAUUAGCGCG